rnacentral:rRNA from 1 species
UACGGGGGGGGGCAAGCGUUGUUCGGAAUUACUGGGCGUAAAGGGCGCGUAGGCGGUUUGCUAAGUUGGAUGUGAAAACUCUGGGCUUAACCCAGAGCCUGCAUCCAAAACUGGCAAACUUGAGUACUGGAGGGGAAAGCGGAAUUCCUGGUGUAGCGGUGAAAUGCGUAGAUAUCAGGAGGAACACCGGUGGCGAAGGCGGCUUUCUGGACAGUAACUGACGCUGAGGCGCGAAAGCCAGGGGGAGCAAACGGG